rnacentral:lncRNA from 1 species
UUUCACUUUUUUGAUAGUCCAUUGGUUUGCUAAUAAUUUUUAGAAGUCUGGAUAUUUCCAUAUAAAUAAUGAUUUUAAGAAUAUAAAUAAAACAACUUAUGUACAGCUGAAGUAUCUGUAGUUCACACAGACAUUUAUUAUUUACUUCUUCCUACUCAAUAGCAUAUUGAUCCAAUCUCGAUUCUUUAGCAAAGAAUGCUUGUUGUAGUAUUCACGGAAUGUCUUAAUAUCAACAGAAUUCUAAAAAUAUUUAUUGCUUGAAUUUUAUUAAACAAAGUUCCUUUGAAAAUCAUGAAAUUUAAAGAUUAUGUGUACCUAAGUCAUAGUCAUUUUGAUACAUGUGUUCAUACUUUGGUCAAAUUUUAAGCUCAUCCCUCAUUUUUUUUACAGUGUACAUUAAUAUAGUAAGUAUAAAUACUAAAAAUUGUCGGUUUAAGAAAUUAAAAAACAUGGUUUUUAUUGUAUCUCUCCUACUAAUAAUAUUUAAAAGAUAUAAACAAAAUCGAUCCACUGAUGAUUGUGCAACAAAUAGACAAUAUGUGUCUUUUUUUUGUUAAGAGUCUUGGGUUGGGGUUAUAGCUCAGUGGUAGAGCACUUGCCUAGGACGUGUGAGACCCUGGAUUCGAUUCUCAGUACCACAUAUAAGUAAAUAAAAUAAAGGUCCAUUGACAACUAAAAAAAAAAAGAGUCUUGAUGAGCAAUUUAAUUUUUUCAGUUUGGUAUCUAAGAUAGUAAGUACCUCAUCAGAGGUAAGGAGGUACUUUCAUUUACAUAUUAAUGUAAAAUUUACUUGUCAUUUAAAAUUGUUUGCAUUGGAAAGUUAUUUUAGAUAAUAUAUAUUAAUGUAGUCAAUAUAUGUGAGAUAGCAUACAACUGGCCAUGUUCAAUAUUCCACAUGAAAGUUAUAGUUUGAACAUACCAAUGUCAUAUUAGUGUAUUGUUCUUCUUGAAUUAAACCAGUUCAUUUUUUUCUAGGGCCUAUUGGAUAUAGGAGAGUUCUGCUCUGCAGUAUCAUUUGUUAAAAGUGAUAGAAUAUUUUUGGCAUUCAAGUUUUUUUAAAAAACAUAUAUUCCACAAGUAAACUUUCCCAUAGGUUAAUGAAAUCUUUCCUUAUAUCUAUUUUGACUUUGAGGCUGAUAAUCACACUUAAAAAAACUUAGGAAUACUGUAAGAAAGCUUGCACAGCAUAUAAAAUAUAUGGAGAUUUAAAAAGUUAUUUAAAUAGUAUACCAGUGUUUGUUGUAUAAUAGAGAACUUCAAAUUCAUACUGAAGAAUGAAAAAUAGCAUUAUAACUUGAGUGGACAAAAGGAAAAAUCUAUACUUGGGAAACAUGAGUGGCAAAAUAUUGACAACAUGUCUGACAAUAUUAGUGACCUAUUGAUUUUUGUUGUCUUUAAUAUUUGCUGUUAGAGGAAAACAAUAAUAUUCCAGAGACUAAAUACAUUUAAU